ensembl:lncRNA
GGGGAUUCUCGAAAAGAGAAAAUGCUUGGUUUUCUGGUUAAAUGGGGGAUUUGCGAAGAGAAAACGCGUGAUUUUCGCUUAAAUGGGGGAUUUGAGAAAACGCGUGAUUUUCGCUUAAAUGUUGGAUUCUCGAAGAGAAAACGCGUGAUUUUCACUUAAAUGGGGAAUUUGCGAAGAGAAAACGCGUGAUUUUCAAGUUAAAUGGAGGAUUUACGAAGAGAAAACGUGAUUUUCUGGUUAAAUGGGGGAUUUCCGAAGAGAAAACGCGUGAUUUUCGCUUAAAUGGGGGAUUUGAGAAAACGCGUGAUUUUCGCUUAAAUGUUGGAUUCUCGAAGAGAAAACGCGUGAUUUUCACUUAAAUGGGGAAUUUGCGAAGAGAAAACGCGUGAUUUUCAAGUUAAAUGGGGGAUUUCCGAAGAGAAAAUGCGUGAUUUUCGCUUAAAUGGUGUAUUUGAGAAGAGAAAAUUCGUGAUUUUCACAUAAAUGGGGGAUUUGCGAAGAGAAAACGCUUGAUUUUCACUUAAAUUGACGAUUCUCAAAGAGAAAACGCGAGAUUUUCGCUUAAAUGGGGGUUUUGCGAAGGGAAAACGCGUGAUUUUCGGGUUAAAUGGGGGAUUUGAGAAAACACAUGAUUUUCACUUAAAUGUUGGAUUCUCGAAGUGAAAACGCGUGAUUUUCGCUUAAGUGUUGGAUUCUCGGAGAGAAAACACGUGAUUUUCGCUUAAAUGGGGGAUUUCCGAUGAGAAAACGCAUGAAUUUCGGGUUAAAUGGGGGAUUUGCGAAGAGAAAACGCGUGUUUUUCUGGUAAAAUGGGGGAUUUGCGAAGAGAAAACGCGUGAUUUUCAAGUUAAAUGGAAGAUUCCUGAAGAGAAAACGCGUGAUUUUCAAGUUAAAUGGG